UCGAGAAUAAUUCGCAAUGGACGAAAGUCUGACGAUGCGACGCCGCGUGAAUGAUGAAGGCCUUCGGGUUGUAAAGUUCUGUCGCCUUAGAGCAAGAGUACGAUGAUAAUACCAUCGUACGAUGAGAGUACAAGGAAAGGAAGCACCGGCUAAUUCCGUGCCAGCAGCUGCGGUAAUACGGAAGGUGCAAGCGUUAGUCGGAGUUAUUGGGCGUAAAGGGUGCGUAGGCGGCAUAGAAAGUUGGAUGUGAAAUUCCUGGGCUCAACCUAGGAGCCGCAUCCAAAACUACUAUGCUCGAGGGAUGGCGGAGAAAACGGAUUCCAUGUGUAGCGGUGAAAUGCGUAGAUAUAUGGAAGAACACCUGUGGCGAAAGCGGUUUUCUAGCCUCCACCUGACGCUGAGGCACGAAAGCAAGGGGAUCAAACAGGAUUAGAUACCCUGGUAGUCCUUGCUGUAAACAAUGUAUACUUGAUGUAGUUGGG
rnacentral:rRNA from 1 species